rnacentral:rRNA from 1 species
GAACUGAAGAGUUUGAUCCUGGCUCAGAUUGAACGCUGGCGGCAUGCCUUACACAUGCAAGUCGAACGGCAGCACGGGUGCUUGCACCUGGUGGCGAGUGGCGAACGGGUGAGUAAUACAUCGGAACAUGUCCUGUAGUGGGGGAU